rnacentral:lncRNA from 1 species
UGGAGGCUGAUCUCUCACCGCAACGUGGAGGCUGAUCUCUCACCGCAACACAGAGGCUGAUCUCUCAUGAUCUCUCACCACGACACGGGCUUCCUGCCUUCAGAUCCUUCUCUACAGACCGUCUGCUGACGGACUUCCCUGGGCCUGCUACCUGAGACCUGCUGCUUCCUCCCUGACCUGCACCCUCUCGUUGCCCAAGACCGCUGCUCCUCGCUGCUCCUGCCCUUCGGCCUCGGACCGUCGGAACAUCGUGCAACGGGACUGCUGCCGGAUCCUGGUGCUUUGCUGAGUGUACCCACUGCUCCAUCAUCCAG